UGCCAGCAGCCGCGGUAAUACUGAAGGUGCAAGCGUUAAUCGGAAUCACUGGGCGUAAAGCGCUCGUAGGUGGCUUUGUAAGUCAGAUGUGAAAGCCCACGGCUCAACCGUGGAAUUGCGGGGUGAACUACAGGGCUUGAGGCAGGUAGAGGUUGUCGGAACGAUCGGUGGAGCGGUGAAAUGCGUUGAUAUCGAUCGGAACGCCAAAGGAGAAGUCAGGCAACUGGGCCUGUCCUGACGCUGAGGUACGAAAGCGUGGGUAGCGAACGGGAUUAGAUA
rnacentral:rRNA from 1 species